rnacentral:rRNA from 1 species
GGAUUAGAUACCCUGGUAGUCCACGCCGUAAACGGUGGGUACUAGGUGUGGGUUUCCUUCCUUGGGAUCCGUGCCGUAGCUAACGCAUUAAGUACCCCGCCUGGGGAGUACGGCCGCAAGGCUAAAACUCAAAGGAAUUGACGGGGGCCCGCACAAGCGGCGGAGCAUGUGGAUUAAUUCGAUGCAACGCGAAGAACCUUACCUGGGUUUGACAUGCACAGGACGCGCCUAGAGAUAGGCGUUCCCUUGUGGCCUGUGUGCAGGUGGUGCAUGGCUGUCGUCAGCUCGUGCCG